rnacentral:rRNA from 1 species
GAUUUCUGGUAUGGCGCAUUUGGCCCGCCUCGUUACGGGGUUGUGUGCCGGUAUGCGCCUGCCAUCCUUCUGGGGAACUAUCAUUAUGCGCUUCCUUCAUUGUGAAGACUUUUGGUAGGGAACCUGAUCAUUUACUUUGAAAAAAUUAGAGUGUUUAAAGCAGGCUUGUGCUAUGAAUACAUUAGCAUGGAAUAAUAAUUUAGGACUCCUGUUCUAUUUUGUUGGUUUCUAGGACGGAAGUAAUGAUUGAUAGGGAUAGUUGGGGGUGCUAGUAUUCAGAGGCCAGAGGUGAAAUUCUCGGAUUCUCUGAAGACUAACUUAUGCGAAAGCAUU